AUGGAGUCAAUCCGUUUGGUAGCCAGAGAAGCACACAUGAAGAGGAAGUACAUUCACAUGAGUAUGCUAAUUGAAGGGCCGAAACAAUCAGGGAACGACAUCAAUCUGUAUCUGGGGCUGUUGAAAGAGGAGCUAGACACGCUGUGGAAAACGCCAGCCAAUACGUGGGACGCCGCAGAGAAAGAAUAUUUCCCUAUGAGAGCCGCACUGCUCACGACGGUGCACGACUAUCUCGGUUACGGAUAUCUCGCGGGGCAGGUGGUCCACGGAUUUUCUGGAUGCGUCAGGUGCAUGGAUUUUUAG
rnacentral:rRNA from 1 species